AGCUGGCCACACUUCACAUUGUAUUAAAUUAAAGACACCUAAAAAGGAGCGCUUAUUUGAAGAGCAUUACAAAAAAUGGUUUAUUGAGCCUGCAAGAAAUAAGAAUUUAUUAAAUAUAGCUUACCAAAAUUGACUAUAAAUGCAAAAUUACCUGCUCGGCUAUUUUCAAAAGGUGAUCAAAUGUUGACUUCCCCGUUUGCAUAACCAUGCUAUGAAAGACAUUAGUCUGGGAUGCCGUCAAGAGUUCAUAAGGCGCGCCAAACUCCACAACAUGUCCCGCAUCCAAUACCAUCACCUUGUCCGAGUCCAUAAUAGUGUGUAGACGAUGAGCAAUCGUUAGCACCGUGCAAUCUUUGAACUUGUUUCUGAUCGUAGUCUGUAUAAGAGCAUCAGUUUGUGGAUCCACAUUGGCAGUGGCCUCAUCCAUGACAAGCACACGAUUCUCGCGCAGAAUAGCACGAGCCAGGCACACCAGUUGACGUUGACCCACGCUGAAGUUGGAUCCACCCUCAGAAAUGUUACCCAGCAGUCCCAUAGGGAGCUCAGAAACUUCAUCCUUCAAAUGCACCUGAAGAAGAAAUAGAGAAAAUGAAUUACAUCUGUGAUAUGGACUGUGUGUUAAACUUACUUCCUCCAAUGAUUGCCAUAGUUUCUGGUCCGGAUACUGCUCAAAUGGAUCCAAGUUGUAGCGCACUGUGCCAGAGAACAACACAGGCUCCUGAGGUAUAAUCGAAAUCUUGCUACGCAGAUCAUACAAGCCCAACUCUUCCGUAUCGCGU